rnacentral:rRNA from 1 species
AUUGAACGCUGGCGGCAGGCCUAACACAUGCAAGUCGAGCGAGCGGAGGACGGGUGAGUAAUGUAUGGGGAUCGGCCCGAUAGAGGGGGAUAACUACUGGAAACGGUAGCGAAUACCGCAUACUAUCGGAUGAACCCAUAGGGGAUUGGCUAGUAGGUGAGGUAAUGGCUCACCUAGGCGACGAGCCCUAGCUGGUCUGAGAGGAUGAUCAGCCACACUGGGACUGAGACACGGCCCAGACUCCUACGGGAGGCAGCAGUGGGGAAUAUUGCACAAUGGGCGCAAGCCUGAUGCAGCCAUGCCGCGUGUAUGAAGAAGGCCUUCGGGUUGUAAAGUACUUUCAGCGGGGAGGCGUUACCCGCAUAAGAAGCACCGGCUAACUCCGGGCCAGCAGCCGCGGUAAUUC